CAACUACUCCCUCUGUCCCAAAUUUCUUGUCUUAGAUUUGUCUAGAUACGAAUGUAUCUAAUACUAAAAUGUGACUUGAUACAUCUGUAUCUAGACAAAUCUAAUACAAGAAUUUUGGGACGGAGGGAGUACUUU
rnacentral:pre_miRNA from 1 species